CAUUCAACUUCCAAGGCGUAAAUCUGAAUUUCUCCUAAUCUUAAAAUUGCAUAGGUUUUAUAAGUCUGUCCAUAGAUGUAGUUAAACUAGGGCGGAGGGACGAUGGAAAAGUAUUAUAUAUACGCAUCAUUUUUUUAAAGACUAAUCCUCGUAAAAACGUUAAAAUGGGGUGAGGGCGGGAGCUGGGGCGGAAGCAGCGCAGGGAUAUACGUAUCAGGAUACCGGAAAUGCGGUGAGAAGCCGGAGGAAGCUCUGUUCCUGGAGGGGAGCCGCCGCCAUCUCAGGUCUCUUGGCCUCGCCAGGCUCCACCAGAGAGAGUUGCAGCCAGGUCCUAUAAUCCUUAUGGAGGACCAACCUUGUACCUCCGGGAGAUCCACGCUCCCACCUGGAAACACGCGGGAAACCAAGCCUCCAAAAAAGCGCUGCCUCCUAGCUCCACGGUGGGAUUAUCCGGAAGGAACCCCGAACGGAGGUAGUACUUCUCUCCCCACCGCACCUCCUCCUGCAUCGCCCGGCCUAACGUCGCACCCUCCUCCUCCGGAGAAGUAGUAAAAUAUACUUCUCCCACCUUAAAACAGUCUUUGAAGGAUUGCGGUAUGAGUCCUUUUCGUUCAUGCGUUUGUAAAAUAGUUCAUCCAGUGAAGACAAUGAAGAUUAUUGACAAUGCUACCCUGCUUUUUCUGUUGUCCUGCGCUGGGAAGUUGUGAUUUUAAGUUUUGUGAUAUAGUUAGCAUAACUCCAUAUCCUGGUUUGGAUGAAUCCUGGGACAUGAUCAAGAUAAGACUGUAGACCUCGAAGAUUGAAGGCCAUGGCCUGGAUCAUGGUGAACUCACAAAGCAAAUAACGCCUGUGAGAUGAUCCUGCAGCAGUCAAUCCAUGUUUUCUUUUGGUGACACCCAGUCCUUACUGUAUAACUUUUAAUUUCUAUAAAUCCAUUAAGGUCCUAAUAAAUUUUGUUUCUCAUUGCUAUGUUAGCUCUGUAUGACUACUAUUUAGUAAAUUGUGAAUAUUCAGUAAAUGUUUCAUAACAAUUCCAAAUAUAAAAUAUUACUAAAAUUAGUGUCAAAAUAUGACUUUUUUCUACAAAUGGCCAUCCAGUCAUUGUUCGAUGUAAUGUGAAAAUAUCAGGACAGUGUGUGUGGGGUUAAGUGGUAAAACAUGAAAAAGAUUUGAGUUUCCAGAAUAUUCUCCACUUUACUGUGAAUUUUUCUAUGGUAUUUAUCUAUGUAGUCUAUGAUAUCCCGUAUUCUGCAUCUUAACUGUUUUCCUGGCCAAGAUGGUUGUUGUGCUUGUUACAUGUAAUUUUCCACUUUACUUUUAUAAUACUCAUAUUAAGUAAAUAGGUAUCUUAAUUAGAAGCAUUAAUAAAAAUUAUGGUGAAAAACACAAGGAGAAUGAGAAAACCUCAGUCAGCAUCUUGCUCGUAUCUCAUAACUUGUUCAAAAUGAAAAUAUUUAAAGUUAAUUUUGGGGAGGACUUUACGUACAUUAAAUAAUAUGGUAAAGAUACAAUAAUUGAAACAAGGUAUUACUGGCAUAGACAUAUGUACACAAGUCA